rnacentral:rRNA from 1 species
UGAGUAACCUGCCCUUAACUCUGGGAUAAGCCUGGGAAACUGGGUCUAAUACCGGAUAUGACUCCUCGUCGCAUGGUGGGGGGUGGAAAGCUUUAUUGUGGUUUUGGAUGGACUCGCGGCCUAUCAGCUUGUUGGUGAGGUAAUGGCUCACCAAGGCGACGACGGGUAGCCGGCCUGAGAGGGUGACCGGCCACACUGGGACUGAGACACGGCCCAGACUCCUACGGGAGGCAG